ACGCGCCCAGAGCGGGCCAAAGGAGUGAAGGGGACUCGGCCGCCAUGUUAGGAGUGCCGGGAACAGUUCGCGGAUCCUGGCUGAGGUUUUAGGCAGCGCGCGAGCCGUAUGGUGGUGCGGUGGGGACGGUGAGGUGGAGGAUAAACCGGUUGGAGAGCCUAGGACCCAAACCUGGGGACCCGGGUGUGGACGCGGCAACUGGGGACAGGUUGUAGGGCGGAUCCGGCUGGAGGCAGUAUCAGGAGGCCGACUGGGCCUGGGCCUUACGGUCCAGCGGAUUGUAUAGGCACCCUACCCGUCCUGGUCCUUUUUCUUAUUAAGGGAUUGAGGGAGUCAGUUUACUUCUGGGCCCAGAGCAUCACUUAGGCCCGCUAACAGGACCCUCGGAGCGGUUGGCGUCUUUGUUGGGCUGCGGGGACCCCGGACGGCCACCCUUCUCACUUUGGUCGGAGAAGCCCCUUCCACCCACGGAGUUGGGUUAUUCCUCCCGAUUUAUAGUUAUCUUUUUGUCACUUAUAUUCCAACCUUCCUUAUUCCUCCGCAAGGUUCCGGACCGUCAUUGGUUUUUCAUACAGGAAUGACUUGCCAGAAGGGUCCCAGAAAUCGAUGUUGGCUCUAGUAGCCAAGCUGUAAAGGGACGGUGCUUUGGCGCCCCGACUAAGACUAACGUCCAAAGGUGUAACACCCGGUUUAAAAUUCCAGGGAUUUUAUUGAUGAUAGCCCUUUUGACAGCUGGCGGUCGGUUUCGAAGUAACGUGGGUUCUUGGAGAAACUUAGAGUGUAGGCUAAAAUGCUGCGAAGGCAGGAUGUUCAUUAGAAUUUGGAUCACCAAUUUAUUUUAAAAAUACAGUUAGUGUUUAAUUUUUGGUACUCCAUAUAUACGAUUACCUUAAGAACUAUUUUUUUUUUAACUAGCUGAAACCAAAGUCACUGGUAUUUAAGUUAUCUUGCUCAGUAUCUCAAAUGAACUGUAUUUUUUUUUCAAUUGUGUUACUAAAACAAUGCUGUGUAUUUGUUCUUUUUCAGAGUCCGUCUACACUAUGAAAGAUGGAAAAUUUCUUUUUCUCCUGAGGGUAUCUGAAGGGUUAAAAAUGCCACAUAUAUUUAUGUUUUUCUCCCUCUCUUUUGCACAGUUAUUCUGAAAACAAAAUUACUCACUUGUUAGUUUGGGCCAUUAACGGUAUGCAUUUCACCUCUCUGUUAGUAGUUAGUAAUAUCACAGCUCAUGGAUGGUUUCUCCUAUCCGGAAAAGCUAAAGAGAGUGAUUAAAAAUAAUAAAACAUGGUAGAAACAGUGUUUCAGAUGUAUACACAUAACUACAAAAACAUAGAAGAAUCAUCAUCUGUCAUGUUUCUGGGAACAGGUCACAAGAUGAAAGGCUUUGUUUCAUUUUUAACAAAGGUAAUAUGUGUUCAUCUCAUUUAUCCAUCAAGUACAACAAUGGGAAAGGCUCAUACAAAUAUUUCUGGUAUUCAGAAACACCUUUGCAGGUAAUUGUGGUUUGGGUAAUUAUUGGACUAGAAGAUAUUUCUUUGCAAGAGUAAGUAUGUGAAGAUGAAUUUCAUCAAAUAUAAAUGUUUACGAAUAUAAAGCCUUUUAAGGAAACUAUGGAGAUGUGCAGUUGUAAGCAAUUAUGCAAGUGGGCACAUACUUAAUAUUCGUGAUCUAGAGUCUGAGGGUCCGGUAUGGAUUUGAACUUGCAGUAAAGGUUAAUCCUCAAUAAGUUGUAUCUUAAAACCUUUUAGGAAAUGUUCAUCAGUUACCCUCUUAACACCUAACUCCUGAUUUGAUGAAUUUAGCAUAUAGGUGUUAAUCAAAUUGAAUAGUCUGAGGACUUGUUUGAGCUGUUCCACCACCAGAAGAUAAAAAUUAGUAACUAUAUUCUUUGAUAUAACCUAAGUGACAAUUUUUUUUUAACACUUUGAGCCAAAGAAACCCUCAGCUUUCUUCCUUCCCUACCCUCUCACUGCAGACUUUUAGUCAUUACUAUGGUAUUAAGUGGGAUCUUAGAGUUUCUUAGUAAUCGUCCCCAUCGAACUGGAUGACGUUUAUUCUAUUAGUUCAUUGUCGGUAUAUUGGAGCCACUUCCUUGUAUUUCAUAGUAUUUUAUAUGCAAGACAAAAAUGGAGAAAAGCUUAUGUUUUUAGAGUUUUGACAUGUGGUGAAAUAAAGUAAUUGCAGAAGUGGUAACAUAAACUGCAAAUAACAUUGACAUACUAGAGUGCUUACAUUGCAGUUGCUAUUGAAACUAAAUAGCAUCUUACAUAAGUGUAGUAAUAAAUGACCUUUACCAGUUUCCUGCUAUUUCAAUGGAAUACUUCAGUAACAAUAGUAUGGUACAUUUACUCUGUCUCAACAAUUGUGAAUGUGGUGAAAAGUGUUACUUUUGGUGAUGAAUUUUACAUUUAUUACCUUUUAUAUUUGACAGGCUCAAUGCAAGUAUGUUCAUGUCAAGUCUGCUUUGUUUACUCUUUGUAUGUUUAAUGCUGGGCAUUAUGCUUGUUUCGAGUUUCAGUCCCAUGACCCAUUUUCAGUAUUCAUGUUUGUGUGUCUUUCCAAAAUUGUUUGCUUCUUUGUUUCCUGCUGAUCCUGAGAGAAUUUAUGAGCAAUUUUUGUUGCUUUUUGUGUUGCCGUGUAUUCGCCUGAGAUGGUUUGCUGGAUUUUCUCAUUUUCCAGAUAAACUCUGCUCUUCCCUUCCACAUUCCUGGGACCUGUUUGGCAUUUGUUGGAGUUCUGGGUUGCUUGUAAUGGAAAAAUUGAAGAAUCGAGUACUAAGAUGCCAGAUUUCAGGGACUUGGGGAGUGAAUGAAUGGGAGUAGGGAAAGAAGUAGGUAUUUCUUUUAAAAACUUCGUAUUUUUAUGAAGUUUGGCCCUGGAAGAGGCAAGAAAUAAUGGGAAAUAACAAGAGAGUAUGUGGGAAUGAAAGAGGGUUUUUACUUAAAUCUUCCUUUUUAGAGGCCAAAAUCACAUUCCACUUCAGGGCAGUUUGAUCAUUUCCCAGAGGAAUCAGGACUUAGAAUUCUGUGCUGUCCCAAAUUGGGCCAGGGGAAAGGUGGAAGAACUCUUAAGUACUUAUGUAAUUUUUUCUAUGACUACUCCAUACUUUUCUUUUGAUUAUUUUUCCUUUCCAUUCCAUUCCUGUUCAUGUUCCUUCAAGGCUUUCGUACUGCCUAUUUAACCAAACUUCUGGAAGAAUAGUGCAUUUUUUUUACCAUUCCAAAAAAGCGUAGCAAUGACCAAGAGCCUAGGUUUCUUUUGAGGAAUUAACUCGUACUAAACAGGCGUUUGCCCUUUAUACCAAUAUCAUUAUACUUACCAACCAAACCUGACUGGGAUCUUCACAACCAUUAUUAGAGAAAACUGCUCAUUUGACAAGAAGAUUAAACUUGAACAAAACCUGUCUGUUCUUGCCUAGCUGUUAUUACCAAGACACAUUACCUGGAGGAGGAGAAGUCUGAGAUAGAUCCUUUUAAUUAUUUAUGUGAGAAAGGUAUGAUUGUAAAAACAAAAAUGCACAAGAGAAAAGCGGCUAACAUCUUAAAGCAACAGAACCCUCAACAAAGAGCGGAAAAUCCAGUUCUAACAGUUAUGAAUUAAGUUUUCCAUUGCUUGAAUUCACUGUCAUUACCUAAUAAAUGAGCUGCUGUUUCCCUUCAGAGGUUUAACUGGCAAAAUAAAUGGAAAGGUGGCAGCAAAAGAAGGGAAUCGCUGAGACUGGUAAGGAUUCAGUAUAAUCAGAAAUAGCAAAGGAAAUUGGUUAUUACUGGAUCCUGGCACUAACUCACUGUCCAAAUGUGAUUUCAUUUCCUUUAAUGAGAUAGGCACCGGAAGAAAUAACUUGAGGGAUUUCUAAGAAAAGACACAUGUGGCUACCAAUUGAAUUACUCUCUGUUACAAGUUACAUUUUGAAUUACAAUGCAUAGUGCAAGGCUCCAUACAUCCUCCAACAUGACCCCUCAAGUUAGCUAACACCUUAUAUCCAAGCUAAUACCUAUUUCUGGUGAAUUUAAGUUUAUGCAGCACUCUUCUACCACUUCCAACUGGAAGGAGGAAAAGACAUGAAAACAAAUGUUAACUGUGUAAUUGUUUAUUGUCAUGGGACCAGAGUUAUACCCAGAUUCAGAAAUCUGAUACUCCUGCUUACUACUAAGUUAAUGCAAGUAAUUAUUAAUAGUUAAUGUUAACUGUUAAUACCUACCUGCUCAGUAGUCUAAGGUAAGAGAUAGACUUUACAUAGGCUGUUAAUUUAUGUGCCUGAGCCCACUCUGGUUUUCAGUAAUCUAAGUAGAAACUUGAAGUUACAUAUGACCCCAUUGUAUAACUUGAGAUAACCCAAAAUUUAUGUAAUAUAUUUUGGUACUAUGUUGAAUUCACUUAAAAUCCACCUAAUAGAGCACCUGGGUGGUUCAGUUGGUUAAAUGUCUGCCUUUGGCUUGGGCCAUGAUCCCAGGGUCCUGGGAUUGAGUCCUGCAUCAGGCUCCCUGCUCAGCGGGGAGCCUGCUCCCUCUCCUCCCUGCAUGUACGCUCUCGUUUAAAAAAAAAAAAUGCACUUAAUAGUUCACAGGUAACUGGAAAGUAAUUUUUCCAGUAGUACUGGCAAGAACAUGCUGUUAAAAUAUUUGUGAACUAGUUGAGGUCUAAAUAGAGCUACAGUGUAUUUGUGUAUGUAAAAAAUGUAUAAUGUUUAUACCAUUUUAUACACACACACACACUACAGCAUAGGCUCUAGUUCUGUUUUGGCCUCAACUAGCUCACAAAUAUUUUAACAGCAUGUUCUCACCAAUACAUAUAUUCAUAUGUAUAAAAUGUGUAUCAUUUUAUACCAUGUUUAUACCAUCAUGUUUAUACCAUGAUUUACAAGUAACUGAAGAACUAUAUCAUACUGACAGUUUAAAGAUUGACAAGAUAGGGUGCCUGGGUGGCUCAGUCGGUUAAGCGUCUGCCUUCUCCUCAGGUCCUGAUCCCGGAGUCCUGGGAUGAGUCGCACAUCAGGCUCCCUGCUUGUCGGCGAGUCUGCUGCUCCCUCUACCCCUCCCCCCUGCUCAUGAUCUGUCUCUCUCUCUCAAAUAAAUAAAUAAAAUCUUAAAAAAAAAAAAAAGGAUUGACAAGAUAAGGAAGUACUGUCUAAAGCCAUUUUUAGCGUUUGGUCUGCCAAUACCUGAAGUGACUUCAGGCUUUAUGGCCCACUUCAAUGUUAAUCUGUAAAAAAUUCCAAAGGCAUAGUUUGAAAUACUGUGGAGUCAGGCCUGAGUUCUGGAUUCCUGGUCUGAUAAUUAGUAACUAAGGUGUCAGCCUAGGCAAAUCAACUUUGAAUCUGGUUGGGUUUUUUUUUUUUUUUUCCUAAUUUUUUUAAAGAUUUUAUGUACAUGAGAGCAUGAGUGGGCUGAGGGAGAGAGAAAAGCAAGAGUCCCCGCUGAGCAGGGAACCCCGCUUUGGGGCUGGAUCCUAAGACCCCAGCCAGGGUCAAGGCCUGAGCCGAAGGCAGAUGCUUAACCAUCUGAGCCACCCAAGUGCCCCUGAAUCUGUUUCUUUAUAUUUAAUAAUCUGGUAGCAUUUAACAUCAAAUACAUGGUUUUUGGUGAUGUUCUAUAGUAUGAUCUACAGGCUUCCAGCAUGAGAAUCUGGGAUACAUGCUAAAAAUGCAGAUUCUGGUGUCCCACCUAGAUAUACUGCUUAAAAAUCUGAAGGUGAGAUUGGGAUCUGCAUUUUUUUAAAAGAUGAUUUAUUUUAGAGAACACAUGUGUGGUGCAUGAGCAUAUGGGGGAAGGGGCAGAGGGAGGAGAGAGUCUUAAGCAGACUCCUGAGAUCAAAACCUGAGCUGGAACCAAGAGUUGGAUGCUUAACUGGUGGCGCCACCCAGGUGUCCCCUGAGAUCUUAAAUAAAUUCACCAGAUGAUUUCUUUCUACCUAAUCUUAAAAACACCAAGGUGAAAUAACUUGCCAAAGUUACUUCCAAAGUUAGGCCCCCUCUUUUUUGUGUUCCUAACUCUUCUUUCCUUCAUGCUCAAUAACAUUCCUGCUGUUAUUCCAGGACACAGAUGCCAAAAUUUAAAAAGUACUUCUGCAUACGUAUAUUCAGUGAAAAAUCUAACUCUACCACAUGGACAAGCAUUGCUUAAUUAAGGAGUUUUGACAAAUGCAUGAAAGUCCUGUAAUCACCACCACAAUCGAGAUACAGAACAGUUCCAUCACCUCAAAAAGUUCUUUUGUACUGCCCCUUUUAUAAUUUUAUAAUAUACAUUUCAUAAUAUUUGGUAAAAUAAUUUUUCAAAAAGUAAGGUUUGAGUGUUUCAUGUACAUCUUUUCCUUAUCAAAAAAAGUAUGUCUUUGGGUUAAGAGAGUACCUUUUCUAAUAAGCCUCUGGAGAAAUAUAGGUAUCCAAGGAAGGGCUAAAUUAUUACACCAUUGUAGGUCAUCUACACUUCAGUUGGCCGAUCAAGCUGCUGAAAAGAAUUAGGACUCAGAAAAGGUAAGGGGUGUAUGUGGUGUAUAUGUUAGUUUAGAGGAUAGGAGUUGGGGUAGAAGAGGAGAUUACGGCCUGACAGUGGAACAACAUGCUUUGAAGGAUAAGGGUAGCAAUUUUUGAAUAGUAUAAGGUCCUUGGGUUCCCAAAGAUACAGGGGGCGCCAAAGAAGAGAUGAGUCCUGAAGAGGGGUGGCCUUCAUGUAAAGAUUGGUCAGUCUGUUGUUAUCUAGAACUACAGUCCUGGGAUUCUAGAACUGGUUCUGCCAGUAACUCAUUCUUGAAAAAUCACUUUCCUUUUCUGGGACUCAAUUUCAUCAUCUAUUAAAAAAAAAAAGUUGGAUUAAGUAUAUUCUAAAAUCUAAUUGAGUAUUCUCCAACUAGAGGGUAUGUGUGUCAGGGGGCGGGGUGGUUCUGAAUUUCUGUCCCAUUUUAACUGGAGAGGAACAUCUGUAGAUAACAAUAACCCAACUCUAACAAGUAUUUUAAAAUCUCUUAAAGCGUCAUGUAGUUUGAUGUCAAGCUGGAAAGCACAGUUAAUGCUGAUCUCAUCUGGGCUCCAAUGAUCUAGCUCUCUUGCCCUCAGUGUUCUCAUUUGUAGAAUGACUAGAUAUACUUUAAGGUUCCUCACAGUUUCACAUUUUUUGAAUGUGAAACCUAUUAAAACUUGCCAGGGUUAUUUUUAUUCUCAUUUCCUCUGGGUCCGUACCUAUUCUGAUUUUGCUUUUUUAAGUUAUUAGUCACUAUUCAUUCAGUACUUAUGUUGCCAGAAUUUUUAAUGUAGGGUAUUUGACCUAUGUUAUUUAAGAAAUUUUACAGUGCUGCUGUUCUUUAUAGGUGUACAAGUAUGGGAAAAUUACACCAUGCCUCCCACCCCCAUCCCGGAUAACAUAUUCCUACAACAAGAUCUCAUUUCAGUAAACAUUAAAAGUAGCAUUAGAGAGGGGAAGAAGGGAAGGAAGAUGUGUGUGGCUUUCAGUUGGUAAGUGAAGGGAAAAGAACUAACAGUUGAGGACCUACUAUGAGCUAGAUACCUUAUAUGUGCCUCCCUUUUUAGGUCAUUGAUAAAAGCAGGCAGGAAGGGAGCCUAUUUAUCUUGAUAUCAAAAAGGGAAAAAAACUUUCUUCCCACAAAUCAUUGGAAUUAUUGAGAAUAUAUUUUUUCAUGUCAUUUUCCCCUAUGAAGGCACAAACAGCAUGAUGCUUCUAUAUAGUGUUUGGCGAAUGCUUAUGAGUGAAUAGGGAUUUUUCUUCUGUCCUUAGAGUAGUGGUUCUUUGGGUCCAUGGACCUCUAAGGAUUUUAUAAAGCUAUGGACCCACCUAGGAAUUCUCUCCCACUACACAAACACAACAAAAUACAAACAACCAUCUUCCUCUCCUUGCCCUAAGUACCUCCGCAUCUGUAUUUGUGCAAAAUCUGUAAUUUUGGGAUGUUUUCCUCCUUUCUGCAAUUUAUUCAUGUGUCCCAGGUUAAGAACUCAGCCCUGGAAACAUCUCUGGAUAUCUAGGCAGCCUAGGAGCUUAAUUCCAUUAACUUGUAAUGCUUAUAGAGCUGCCAUCCUUUAUUGGUCCUUUAUAGGUUUGAGAAAAUUGCACCAUGCCUCCAGACUGUUCAGUUUGUUUUGUUUUCUAUGAGCAGAAAUUAUAUCCAGCUUGCUUUUCAGUUCAUUAAUAUGUGCUACAACCAAAGAUUAGCAUUUUUAAGGUUUUUGAAGUAGGAAUUGUUUAAUUUACAGAUGAAGAAAUUAAGGUUUGUCCCAAACUUUAUUUUUUGUAUCAUAUCUCUGGGCUUUCUAAAUGGAAUGAUUCCCCUUCCUUCCUUCCUUCCUUCCUUCCUUCCUUCCUUCCUCCCUCCCUCCCUCCCUCCCUUCCUUUUUCCUUUCCUUUCCUUUCCUUUUUCCUUUUUCCUUUCCUUUCCCUUUCCCUUUCCCUUUCCCUUUCCCUUUCCCUUCAGAAACCCACUUAAAACAUUGUCAGGCCAGUAUCCUCAUCUGUGAAAUUGUAUCUGGGUAGAGAAGGAUAGUGAAAAAAAUGAUCUUGUCUCAUAAUGGAAGACAAGGACCUGUAACAAAUAUUCUAAGUAAUUCCAAAUACGAUAUGAGAAUUCCCCCAUAAGGUUGUGAGGAUCCCAUUGGUUGAAGGAAAACUGAAUGUUGUGUAAACUCUACAGUUUUCUUUUUUUUUUUUUUUUUUUAAGAUUUUAUGUAUUUAUUUGACA